GGAGUGGUAGCUCAGUGGUUAGAGCAGGAGAUUGCAGUGCCAUGCGCUUCAAAUAUCUCAAGGUCGCGUGUUCGACUCACGCUCGCUCCU